CAUGAGAUCACUUUUUGCAUUGUACUUGUCUGUGAUUGAAAUAAGUAAAAAAAGAAGAAGAAGAUGGAGCAGGAGAAGGAGAAGCAGAAGAAAAGCUUGAUCUCUUUCUCCUCAUGACUGUCUGAGACUAUUAGUGUUGUAAAGGCUCCUUUACGAGAGGGCUUUUAUUUUGACAUUGCACGUCUUCUUCCAGCUGAGCAGUCACGUGAGUUAAGCUGCUGCUGAACUGUUAUGCUCUGUAGAGCCGAUCGCUGAAAGGACAUUUAUUGCUGUUUAUUUGUGAUAUUUGCUGCAGAAUUACCUCAAGGUGUUAGCCACUGAUCUGCAAACUAAUGUCUCUACUGCCUGUAACUGAUAUCUACCUGUGAAAUACCUGUACCUCUGCGGCUUAUUUUUUAUCAAUACAUCAUCUAAACCUGA